UACGUAGGGUGCAAGCGUUUGUCCGGAAUUAUUGGGCGUAAAGAGCUCGUAGGCGGUUUGUUGCGUCGGCUGUGAAAUCCCGAGGCUCAACCUCGGGUCUGCAGUCGAUACGAGCAAACUAGAGUGUUGCAGGGGAGACUGGAAUUCCUGGUGUAGCGGUGAAAUGCGCAGAUAUCAGGAGGAACACCGGUGGCGAAGGCGGAUCUCUGGGCCAUUACUGACGCUGAGGAGCGAAAGCGUGGGGAGCGAACAGG
rnacentral:rRNA from 1 species